rnacentral:rRNA from 1 species
UACGUAGGUGGCAAGCGUUGUCCGGAUUUACUGGGCGUAAAGAGCGCGCAGGCGGUCGUUCAAGUCGCGUGUGAAAGCCCCCGGCUCAACUGGGGAGGGUCACGCGAUACUGAUCGACUCGAAGGCAGGAGAGGGUAGUGGAAUUCCCGGUGUAGUGGUGAAAUUCGUAGAUAUCGGGAGGAACACCGGUGGCGAAGGCGGCGACCUGGGUAGAUACUGACGCUGAGGUGCGAAAGCGUGGGGAGCAAACAGG